UACUCAUUCACUCAUUCAUUGCUCUAACAAACGGUAACGGUGUUGUCACUUGACUAGUGACGCGAGAAUAUUCGUAAAAGUUCAAUUAAUUAUGCCACGAUUGUGUUGUCAGGUAUGUGCAACGUUUUUUCAACGUCUGUCGCUGGAAUGUUGCAUCAUUUGGUCGCUGUUCAUAAACACGAUGCCAGAUUGCAUAUUUCUGCGAAGUGCCGGAAUGUAAUUCAACCUUCGCUAAGUUUAACUCUUACAAAAGUCAUCUUAGAAGAAAGCACGCCAAUGUUGACUUAAACUCACGUGAUCUAUGUUGCGUUGAAUCAGCGAGUAGCACUCAAACCAAUUUUUGUCCUGAUGAGGAUCGACUUGAACUCUUAAUUGAUGAAUUCAACAGGGAAAAUGAACUUGAUGACUCUGUUCAAGCAAUGGAACACAAAAAGGCCCAAUUUCUUCUAAAAACAAAAGAAAUCAAUCUGCUCACACAAAAAUGUGUGGAUAACAUUGUAGAAGAAUCCACUGAACUUGUCCAAGGAACAGUCAAAGCAAUUAAACACCGUUUGCAAAAUUGCUUAGAGAAAGCUGGAUUAAAUUAUAAUGAUGUGCCAGGUCUUGAUGAAUUAUUUGAUGAAGGACAUGCUAUCUCAAAUCCAUUCAAACAUAUUUCCACAAAGUAUAAACAGAAUGCUUAUUUUGAGGAGCAUUUUGGCUUAGUUCAACUCAGACGAAUUAAACUUGGACACAGAUUGUGAAAAGACUUUCAAGGACUGUGUACAAAGAGGUUAUUAAAGAUGAUGAAAUCAUGUACAUACCACUGCUUAAAUCCUUGGAAAAA